GACGAACGCUGGCGGCGUGCCUAAUACAUGCAAGUCGAGCGAAGUUUUUCUGGUGCUUGCCCUAGAAAAACUUAGCGGCGAACGGGUGAGUAACACGUAAAGAACCUGCCUCAUAGACUGGGACAACUAUUGGAAACGAUAGCUAAUACCGGAUAACAGUAUUUCUCUCAUGGGAGAUAUUUAAAAGUUGGUUAUGCUAACACUAUGAGAUGGCUUUGCGGUGCAUUAGCUAGUUGGUGGGGUAAAGGCCCACCAAGGCGACGAUGCAUAGCCGACCUGAGAGGGUGAUCGGCCACACUGGGACUGAGACACGGCCCAGACUCCUACGGGAGGCAGCAGUAGGGAAUCUUCCGCAAUGGGCGAAAGCCUGACGGAGCAACGCCGCGUGAGUGAAGAAGGAUUUCGGUUCGUAAAGCUCUGUUGUUAGGGAAGAAUGGAUAUGUAGUAACUAUACAUGUAAGAGACGGUACCUAAACAGAAAGCCACGGCUAACUACGUG
rnacentral:rRNA from 1 species